rnacentral:rRNA from 1 species
AUCUUCCGCAAUGGGCGAAAGCCUGACGGAGCAACGCCGCGUGAGUGAUGAAGAGUUUCUGCUCGUAAAACUCUGUUAUUAUGGAAGAACAAAUGUGUAAGUAACUGUGCACAUCUUGACGGUACCUAAACAGAAAGCCACGGCUAACUACGUGCCAGCAGCCGCGGUAAUACGUAGGUGGCAAGCGUUAUCCGGAAUUAUUGGGCGUAAAGCGAGCGUAGGCAGUUUCUUAAGUCUGAUGUGAAAGCCCACGGCUCAACCGUGGAGGGUCAGUGGAAACUGGGAGACUUGAGUGCAGAAGAGGAAAGUGGAAUUCCAUGUGUAGCGGUGAAAUGCGCAGAGAUAUGGAGGAACACCAGUGGCGAAGGCGACUUUCUGGUCUGUAACUGACGCUGAUGUGCGAAAGCGUGGGGAUCAAACA